GUAGGGAAUAUUGGGCAAUGGUCGGAAGACUGACCCAGCCAUGCCGCGUGCAGGAAGACGGCCCUCUGGGUUGUAAACUGCUUUUAUCUGGGAAGAAAAAGGCCAUGCGUGGCAAAUUGCCGGUACCAGAUGAAUAAGCACCGGCUAACUCCGUGCCAGCAGCCGCGGUAAUACGGAGGGUGCGAGCGUUGUCCGGAUUUAUUGGGUUUAAAGGGUGCGUAGGCGGCUGAUUAAGUCAGCGGUGAAAGACUCCGGCUUAACCGGGGCAGUGCCGUUGAUACUGGUUAGCUUGAGUGUUGGAGGGGUACAUGGAAUUGAUGGUGUAGCGGUGAAAUGCAUAGAUACCAUCAGGAACACCGAUAGCGAAGGCAUUGUACUGGCCAACAACUGACGCUGAUGCACGGAAGUGUGGGGAUCGAACAGGAUUAGAUACCCGGGUAGUCC
rnacentral:rRNA from 1 species